rnacentral:rRNA from 1 species
CCUACGGGAGGCUGCAGUGGGGAAUAUUGGACAAUGGGGGGAACCCUGAUCCAGCCAUGCCGCGUGUGUGAAGAAGGCCCUCGGGUUGUAAAGCACUUUCAGUGAUGAAGAACGCCUGGUGGUUAAUACCCAUCAGGAAAGACAUCACUCACAGAAGAAGCACCGGCUAACUCCGUGCCAGCAGCCGCGGUAAUACGGAGGGUGCGAGCGUUAAUCGGAAUUACUGGGCGUAAAGCGCGCGUAGGUGGCUUGAUAAGCCGGUUGUGAAAGCCCCGGGCUCAACCUGGGAACGGCAUCCGGAACUGUCAAGCUAGAGUGCAGGAGAGGAAGGUAGAAUUCCCGGUGUAGCGGUGAAAUGCGUAGAGAUCGGGAGGAAUACCAGUGGCGAAGGCGGCCUUCUGGACUGACACUGACACUGAGGUGCGAAAGCGUGGGUAGCAAACAGGAUUAGAUACCCUUGUAGUC